CACCUCUCAGGAUUGUGCCUGGAGGUUUCCAGUAUUCGACCAGUCUCGACUAUGGGAGGGAGAGUCAAGCAGAGGCAUAUCCAUUUCAUUCCUAGCUUGGCCGGUGGCUAGCGACUGGAAGGCAAUCUGCUACAAGU